rnacentral:rRNA from 1 species
AAUGAACGUUGGCGGCGUGGAUUAGGCAUGCAAGUCGAGCGAGAUCUGUAGCAAUACAGUGAAAGCGGCGAAAGGGAGAGUAAUGCGUAGAUACGUACCCUGGGGUUCAGGAUAGCCAGCCGAAAGGCUGGGUAAUACUGGAUAAUGUCUUCGGACCAAAGAUUUAUUGCCCUUGGAUCGGUCUGCGUCCUAUUAGCUAGUUGGUGGGUAAUGGCCUACCAAGGCGAAGAUGGGUACUGGGUGUGAGAGCACGACCCAGCUCACUGGGACUGAGACACUGCCCAGACACCUACGGGAGGCAG